AAUGGAAGGUGUCGAGGAUUCCAAAGGCUGGGCUGAAGGUGGGAAGUUUUGAGAUGCCCCGCCCUGCCCCUAACAGCUGAGACACAAGAAGAAGAAACUGGGGCAGAGAGCAGCUAAGAAACCUGAUCAAGGCCACAGCUGGUCAUGGACCCCUCUGUGAUACCAAUAAGGCAAUGCACCCUUUCCCUGUAGAAAUGCACAUAAACUUUUGCGUCUUCAAAGGAUUCACAAAUAUGACCUCUUCCUCCAGUCUCAUCAGUUGUCUGCCCAGAGAUCUCUCCCUCCCCCACCAAUAUAUAUUCCAUUAAGAAGCCUAUAAAAAUAAGCUAGGUCGGAUUUGAUAAGGUCUCUAGUGACCUGGGAAUAGAGUUUCACAGCAAUAAAGGGAAUAUUUUCCAAAAUGGGCUAUGUCAUUAUUCAAGAAAAGAUUAAAGGGAAUAAGGAGAUAACCAAGAUGUAGAAGAGGGUGCGUUUCUGAUUUGAUAAAACACUGGAAGCCCUUUCUUCCAAAUUUCUUGAAUCAGACAAAUAGCAAAAAAAAAA